GGCCGGGUAGCUCAGCUGGCAGAGCAGCGGACUUUUAAUCCGAAGGUCGCGGGUUCGAUGCCCGCCCCGGCCA
rnacentral:tRNA from 1 species